CUUCUGGUCGACGAGGUACAUGUACCUCUUUGGCUGGAAGGAAAUCCUUCCAAUCAACGAGGUACAUGUACCUUGUCAACUGGAAG
rnacentral:miRNA from 1 species